ACUCCUACGGGAGGCAGCAGUGGGAAUAUUGCACAAUGGGAAGCCCAUCGAUGCAGCCAUGCCGCGCUGUGUGAAGAAGGCCAAUUUUGGGGCUUUUGGUUAAAGACACUUUCAGUAGGGAGGAAGGUAGUGUAGUUAACACCUGCAUUAUUUGACGUUACCUACAGAAGAAGCACCGGCUAACUCCGUGCCAGCAGCCGCGGUAAUACGGAUGGUGCGAGCGUUAAUCGGAAUUACUGGGCGUAAAGCGCAUGCAGGCGGCCUGUUAAGUCAGAUGUGAAAGCCCGGGCUUAAGCCU
rnacentral:rRNA from 1 species